UACAGAGGUCUCAAGCGUUGUUCGGAAUCACUGGGCGUAAAGGGUGCGUAGGCGGCGCGGCAAGUCAGAUGUGGAAUCCAUGGGCUCAACCCGUGAAUUGCAUCCGAUACUUCCGUGCUUGAGGGCUGGAGAGGAGUUUGGAAUUCUCGGUGUAGCAGUGAAAUGCGUAGAUAUCGAGAGGAACGCCAACGGCGAAAGCAAAACUCUGGACAGCAACUGACGCUGAUGCACGAAGGCCAAGGGAGCAAACGGG
rnacentral:rRNA from 1 species